UGCCCUGUACAGAACACACCA
rnacentral:misc_RNA from 1 species